rnacentral:tRNA from 1 species
GCACUGCUGGUCUAGUGGUAGAAUAGUUCCCUGCCAUGGAACAGUCCCGGGUUCGAUUCCUGGGAGUGCA